AACGAACGCUGGCGGCAUGCCUAACACAUGCAAGUCGAACGAGACCUCCGGGUCUAGUGGCGCACGGGUGCGUAACGCGUGGGAACCUGCCCUUAGGUUCGGAAUAACUCCCCGAAAGGGGUGCUAAUACCGGAUAAUGUCUUCGGACCAAAGAUUUAUCGCCUUUGGAUGGGCCCGCGUUGGAUUAGCUAGUUGGUAGGGUAAAAGCCUACCAAGGCGACGAUCCAUAGCUGGUCUGAGAGGAUGAUCAGCCACACUGGGACUGAGACACGGCCCAGACUCCUACGGGAGGCAGCAGUGGGGAAUAUUGGACAAUGGGCGAAAGCCUGAUCCAGCAGUGCCGCGUGAGUGAUGAAGGCCUUAGGGUUGUAAAGCUCUUUUACCCGGGAUGAUAAUGACAGUACCGGGAGAAUAAGCUCCGGCUAACUCCGUG
rnacentral:rRNA from 1 species